UAAUAUUUCAGGUUGAGAAGUCUCCUUCCCCCUUCUCUACUUUUUACCCCCGCUCCCCUUUGGCUCCCCCAAUGUCUUUAAGCUUUUAAGCCCUUCAUAUAAACCACAAAACCCUACACUCUCUAAUCUCAGCUCCCCAACAAAACCCAAAACCACAACAAAAAAUAAGAAGAGAUGUCUCAGCAUUCCUCUCCAUUCCCCUCUUGCUUUCGCCCCUCCAAUAAUGAAACCCACAAAUCUCUACCGCCGCCGCCGCCCCCACCACCCACCUCAGGUAAUCCCAACCUCACCACCUGCCUCUACCACACUGCCCUUGGCCUUUUCUCUCUAACCUGGUCUCGCUCUCUCCUUGGCCGCUCUCUUCACCUUAAUCUCCUCCCCCGUCAUCACCACAUAUUCGACUCUCCUCCUGUUUCUUCUUCUUCUUCUUCUCCUUCUUCCCAAUACACUUUCCACCUCCACAUCAAACCCCUUAUUUUCUGGAAAAAGCAUGGAUCCAAAAGGCUCAACGCCAACACUCAAAUUUUUUGGGACCUUACCAGAGCCAAGUUCGGGUCUGGACCUGAACCCCAAUCCAAGUUCUACAUAGCCGUAGUUGUUGACAAAGAAAUUACCCUUCUCGUUGGAGACUCCACCAAAGAAGCCUAUGCCAAAACCAAAGCCCAAAGGCCUAAAAGUAACCAAGUUCUUGUCUUGAAAAGAGAGCAUGUCUUUGCCAACAAAAUUUACACCACGAGAGCAAGAUUUGGAGGCAAAACCAGGGAAAUUCAAAUAGAUUGCGGGUACAAUGAUGACACCAGGCUCAGUUUCAGCGUGGAUAACAAAAGGGUCUUGCAGAUAAAGCGCCUAAAGUGGAAAUUCAGAGGCAAUGAGAGAAUUGAAGUUGAUGGGGUGCCUGUACAGAUCUCAUGGGACGUGUACAACUGGUUGUUCGAGAAAGACAACGAUGAUAGACACGCGGUUUUCAUGUUCAGGUUUGAAGGAGAUGAAGAUAGAGAAAAGGAAGCGAAUUCUUCCUCGGGUGAGAAAAAUGGGAUGGCUUUGUGGACACAACAGAGCUGGAGCUAUGGCUUGAGUGGGAUUGAAUGGAGAAAGAUGAGGAAAAGCUUGUCAUCGUCUUCGACUUCUAUGUGGUCUUCGGCAGGGUCUUCUGGAGGAAGCUCUGUAAUGGAAUGGGCCAGCACAGAGGAGAGUGAAUUGGGCGGCCCAUCUGGGUUUUCAUUGCUGGUUUAUGCUUGGAAGAGAUGAAAAAGCUGUGAAGAAAAGGUUUUGGCUGGAUUAUCUUUCACAAAUUUGGUAUUGUUUAAUUGAUUAGUUUGUCUUCACUAACUCAUUUGUUCAUGAACAUAGAAGAAUAAAGCAAUUUACAAGAUAAUAUAUAUAUGGAUUUCAUUUAUACAUACGUAGCUAGAUCUAACAACUUCUUUUAAGGAGUACUGAAAUGAAUGCUUUUCUCUUUCUUGUGGAAUUUAUUGUUCUUUGGAUCAUUAGUACAAGAAUGUAUUUGUUUAUUUUUGGUUACGAUUUUGGUGUAAAUUAAGUUGUCAAGCAUAUUGAUAAAUGCAAAGCAGAAGUGAUUGGCUAUAA